rnacentral:ribozyme from 1 species
AGAGAUUACAAGUAGGCCAUAGCAGAAGUGCAUGUGGCACACCCUGUCAUAUUCCAGCAAAUCUGCAAAUUCUGCC